rnacentral:tRNA from 1 species
UGGUGGGGUAGCUUAACUAAAGCGUUUGGCUUUUAACCGAAACAUGGUAGUUAUCAAUCUACCUCCCGUCAU